GCCGAUGUGGUUCAGUGGUUAAGCCUUUUUUAGAAAAGAAGGUUCCAUACAGAACGCCAGACUCAUAAUCUGGAGGUCGCGGGUUCAAUCCCCGCCAUCGGCA
rnacentral:tRNA from 1 species